rnacentral:rRNA from 1 species
ACUGAACGCUGGCGGCAGGCCUAACACAUGCAAGUCGAACGACUGGCGGACGGGUGAGCAAUCUCUGGGAAACUGCCUGAUGGAGGGGGAUAACUACUGGAAACGGUAGCUAAUACCGCAUACCAUCAGAUCUGCCCAGAUGGGAUUAGCUAGUAGGUGGGGUACUGGCUCACCUAGGCGACUACCCCUAUCUGGCCCGAGAGGAUGACCAGCCGCACUGGGACUGAGACACGGUCCAGACUCCUACGGAAGGCAGCAGAGGGGAAUAUUGCACAAUGGACAGAAGCCAGAUGCGGCCAUGCAGCGUGUGUGAAGAAGGCCUUCGGGUUAUAGAGCACUUUCGGCGAGGAGGCGUUACUGGCAGAAGAAGCACCGGCUAACUCCGUGCCAGCAGCCGCGGUAAUAC